rnacentral:rRNA from 1 species
CCCUUAGAUGUUCUGGGCCGCACGCGCGCUACACUGACAGAGCCAACGAGUUCAUUUCCUUGUCCGAAAGGUCUGGGUAAUCUUGUUAAACUCUGUCGUGCUGGGGAUAGAGCAUUGCAAUUAUUGCUCUUCAACGAGGAAUGCCUAGUAAGCGCAUGUCAUCAGCAUGCGUUGAUUACGUCCCUGCCCUUUGUACACACCGCCCGUCGCUACUACCGAUUGAAUGGCUCGGUGAGGCCUUCGGACUGGCCCAGGGAGGUCGGCAACGACCACCCAGGGCCGGAAAGUUGGUCAAACCCGGUCAUUUAGAGGAAGUAAAAGUCGUAACA